rnacentral:rRNA from 1 species
GCAAGGAUAGGCUGAUGCGUAUAUACCCGCAUAUGCACCCACGUCUAUUCUAUAGCGAUGACGGGUGGGCCGGCGCUGCUCCUGUCCCGUUCGUCGAUGGCACUGGUUGCGUGCACGUCUCGUCGCUGUUGGGAUUCACCAAUCCCAUCCACGCCCAUCCUCCAAACGUGCAAGGGUUCUGCCAACCCUUCGUCAAGUCUGCGUCCCCUCCGCCUCGUCUCCUACCUGCUCCCUCCUCUCCCACAUCAUUGCCCUCAAGCCCACGCCCCCUCCACCUUGUCUCCUCUCCAACGCCGCCGCCCUAGAUGCGUCGUCAGGGACGCCGUCGACACGUCGGGAUACGUAGGGAUGGAGCUCAGCCCGAGUCUAGCAGAAGCCCACUCCUAACCCUAUUUUCUCGAUUGACAAGACCAGGGCAACGGAUUGGAUCGAGGGCGCCCGCAUGGCCUCGCCGCCGCUGCCGCCUGGAUUCGCUAGCUGCCGCCUCGAGUUACCUCCGUCGCCGCCGCCGCGAGUCAGCUCCACCGUUGCCGUCAGGAAUCUCGUCCAGGCAAAUUAACUUCCUCCGAGUCCCUGGUCUCCCUUGUCCUCCUGCCCUGCUUGAUUCGUGUGUGUGUGUGUGUGUGCGUGCGUUCCAGGCAAAUUAACUUCCUCCGAGAGUCCCUGCUCUCCCUUGUCCUCCUGCCUUGCUUGAUGCAUGUGUGCGGGUGCGGGUGUGUGUGUGUGUGGGUGUGGGUGCGUAUGUUUUUAGUUCGAGUGUGGAUGCUCGGCAAUAGUGAUGUAGGUCUUUUUGUAGAACAGAAUGAUUAACCCACAAUAGUGAUGUAUGUUUUUAGUUCGAGUGUGGAUGCUCGGCAAUAGUGAUGUAUGUUUUUAGUUCGAGUGUGGAUGCUCGGCAAUAGUGUGGAUGCUCGGCAAUAGUGAUGUAAGUCUAUUUCUAGAGAAAAUUUCUAGGAAUUUGAUUGACGGAGGCAUCACUAUCUGGCGUUGGAUUAUACAUUUUUGCAGCACUACCACUAUUGUUUUUGUUUGGCAGGAAUGAAUGUUCUAGGGUUGGAGCAGAGGGGGUUGAGCAGCAGUUGAGCUUAGAUUCAAGAUUUUCUUACACAUGGGGAUUUUUGUUCUCCUAAUGUUUCUAGGUUGCUUUGGAGGUUGAUAUCAGGUGGCUACUCAUGUUUGGCUUGGUGGCUUGGUGCCUAAAUUUUAGAUGUUUCAUUAAUCUUGGCUGCUUUUCUCAUCCGUUUUGGGUUUUAACCUUGGAUCUAGAAGGUUGCAGCUUCUUUGUUCUCCUACUCAAGAGUUGCUCAUUGUUCAGUUCAAGCCAUGUUCUUCAGGAAAAUCAUCGUUUCUUCACUUCCAAGGCCAGCGUCACUCAACUUUGCUUGGAGCAUGCUUAUUUGUUUCUACAUUGCCUUUGCUUAAUAUUUCUCUUGAUUUCCUAUGUGAUUGAGAUGUGUGCCUAUCUCGACUGUUCUGUUGUGUUGGCAAUUUCUCGCCACUGGCCCAUUAUAACUGUUGUUCACGUACCUGGUGCACUUCUAAUUUUGAAUUGUGCUUGCUGAGUGCCCUCAUUUUUUUACUACCUUCCGUUGGUGUAUAUGCAAGCUGUAGAGCUUUGUUGUUCAAUCUGGUUAUAGCUUUAUUCUCCUAUUUUCUUACUCAUUCCCACAUUGUCUUAGUUAUUAGAAAUGUAAAUAGGCCAUGUGAAAAUAAGCUAAAGUAGCUUUUUUGGGAGAUUUUUUGUGACACUGUUUUUUGUUCAACAGAACCAUUUUUUUGCUUAGUAAAUUACAUUAUGUGUCCAGCAUCUGAUGGUUUGCUACCUAUAUUACUGGCUUGCAUGCUUUGAGAAAAUGAUUUUAGCAUGUUUGUCAUUCAUAUAUCUGUCCAUCUGCGAUGGAAAAAAAUGUUAUUUGCUCAUGCCUCAUGUCAUAAAAUCAAAUGUCUGCAUCAUGUUGAUAUUCUUCAUAAAGAAACCACUUGCUUUUACAAGUACUGGACUAUUGUGAGUGUCGUCGUCUUCAUUGAUGGGAGGAUGAGAGCGGCAAUAGCGCUAGCCAGCGAGGCAGGCUGCUUGGCUCUGGGGCCGACACCUACCGUCCACUUUCGUUGGGCGGAUCUGCCACUUCAAAAACUUUGGUGGCCAUAAGCAAUCUCAAGAGCUUGUUGUGAUGAUUUGAAUGUAAGCAGUUUCCUUCGUUGUGCUUGUGUGUGCUUCUAUGUCUUUCAUGGUCUAUUCUUAGUGUAUGGAAUGGUUAUAUUAGCCAUGUAGUUUACUUUCAUUUUUGAAUCUUGAUGCAUCGAAAAUAGUUGUAAACUGCAAGACCUUAUUUCUGUGGGUGAAAUAAUAGAUGCACAUUGGCUCUUUUAUUGUUUUUGAUUAUUGAAAGAGAGAUACACAUACUGGUUUGCAUUAAUGGUGUUAAAGUUUAAAAACGUUAUUAAAACCAACGUCCAACUUUGUACAUCUGAAGUUUUGGAUUGUUGUGCCAACAAUAAACAGUAAAGGAAAAAUCUGCUUCAAUAUUCAGUUGGUACGCAGCUGCAACUUCUAUGUUAUAUUUGGAAGCUGCUCUAUGUGAUUUUUUGUGUAGUUUGUGAUCAAAUGAAGAUAGAAUUUUUAUGAAUAUAACAUGUGCAACAUGCUACUAACAGAGUCAAGUUUGUAUGAAUUUGUUCACUUUGUGGUCAGUGGAAAUAUGACUGCCUUGUGCACUUUUCCAGCGGAAGAUGAACUUGGUGUUGCUUGCUAUGACGAAAUGAGGUGUUUGCCUGGUUGUAAAUUGCAUGCUGAUGUUACUGUAGUUAUGUUCUAUUCUCUAAAGAAACAUGGGGUCGGAUGCAAUAGGUUAAGGAAAAGGGCAUUGUUGAGCUACGACAAUAGACAAUGAAGAGCUAAUCGAAGACAUUUCCUCAUGGCAAUAGGCAAUAAAGAGCAAAUGGAAGGGAUAGAAAUAUUUUGUUGGCUGCAAGCCCCUAUUUUCUUCAACUAAGAGAUAUUAAAUUUAUUGCCAUAUGUGCUUGCCCGUAAGGAAAUCAAUUAAAAUAUGGAUUUCUUUUCAUCGCUAACAUGGAAUCAGCAGGUCUCUGCGCCAUUUGGCGCAACGGAUCCAC